rnacentral:lncRNA from 1 species
CAACCAGUAUGUGCACACAAGUAUGUGUGACUCCCCCCACCCCCAUGUGAUACACCCACACCCUCACGCACAUAUACUCCAGUUGCACAGACAGGCAUGCGAAGGAGCAAAAUACAGUCUUGGUUGGUUUUUUGUUUGUUUGUUUGCUUUUUCUGAUAUGUUUUCUAAAAUAAUCUUGAGUUGUAGCAGAAGUUCGCUAUAUUAUUUACUGUUUCCUGCAAAAGGUUCAAAUGAAGUAUGCUUCUUGUUCCCACGAAUAGUUUUCUGUUCUAGUGAAAUUUGUAUUGUAUUCUAUGUGACAUUUUUCUUUCUCUGUGUAACUCCUUUUGCUAUUUCACAG